AUUGAACGCUGGCGGCAGGCCUAACACAUGCAAGUCGAGCGGAUGAAGGGAGCUUGCUCCUGGAUUCAGCGGCGGACGGGUGAGUAAUGCCUAGGAAUCUGCCUGGUAGUGGGGGAUAACGUCCGGAAACGGGCGCUAAUACCGCUUACGUCCUGAGGGAGAAAGUGGGGGAUCUUCGGACCUCACGCUAUCAGAUGAGCCUAGGUCGGAUUAGCUAGUUGGUGGGGUAAAGGCCUACCAAGGCGACGAUCCGUAACUGGUCUGAGAGGAUGAUCAGUCACACUGGAACUGAGACACGGUCCAGACUCCUACGGGAGGCAGUAGUGGGGAAUAUUGGACAAUGGGCGAAAGCCUGAUCCAGCCAUGCCGCGUGUGUGAAGAAGGUCUUCGGAUUGUAAAGCACUUUAAGUUGGGAGGAAGGGCAGUAAGUUAAUACCUUGCUGUUUUGACGUUACCAACAGAAUAAGCACCGGCUAACUUCGUG
rnacentral:rRNA from 1 species